UUAAAAUCUAUGUUGAACUUCAUAUUGCUAGCUUCUUAAAUGGGCACACUUUAGAUAGUAAUGGAAAAUUCUCUGGGUAAAAAACUUUUUUGUGCGUUUAUGAUAGGAAGCAGGAAAGGGCAACAGUGUUCUGACCUAUUUUUGAAAUAAAGCUUUGCUCUAUAAAAAAAAACUUGCUGAUUCAUUCUAUCUGUCACUUAGCCAAGACUAAUUAUUGUCUUCUGUGUGCCAAGAACUACAGAGAAUCCACAGAGAUGAGCAAGAAAUGGUUCUUCUUUAAUAGGAGUUUAUUUCCUAGUAAGUAGAAUCACAAAGGAAGUAAAUGUGACAAAGUAUUCUAGAUGUUACAGUAGAAAUAUAAACUAAGAAGGUAUGGGUAUGGUUAAUUUCUACCCCAAAGUCAAGCUUCUUGCAAAAGCAAUGGUAGUGGAUAACUAUGAUAAUGAACACAUUUUCACCAAGAAGAUUACUACUUCUGUCUUAAUAAAGAUGUCAUAUUAUUGGAUCCCUGAUAACUGGAUUCCUGCAUUAUCAACUCUAACAGGAGCUCUUUUUGUGCUGUGCCUCUAUGCCGUUGCAUGGUGCCUCUUCAAAGAUUCUCCUGUUUGUUCAAGAUUAUUUCCCCACUGCCACAAACAUCACCAGAGCCAACCAAGUCUCACAACCAAAGGACCUGGUGUAGUACCAAGUGACAGGAAUACAGUAACUAUUUGA
rnacentral:lncRNA from 1 species